AUUGAACGCUGGCGGCAGGCUUAACGCAUGCAAGUCGAGCGGGGACUUCGGUCCUAGCGGCGAACGGGUGAGGAAUGCUUGGGAAUCUGCCCAGUAGUGGGGGAUAACGUUUCGAAAGGAACGCUAAUACCGCAUACGUCCUACGGGAGAAAGGGGGGGAUCUUCGGACCUCUCGCUAUUGGAUGAGCCCAAGUCGGAUUAGCUAGUUGGUGAGGUAAAGGCUCACCAAGGCGACGAUCCGUAGCUGGUCUGAAAGGAUGAUCAGCCACACUGGAACUGAGACACGGUCCAGACUCCUACGGGAGGCAGCAGUGGGGAAUAUUGGACAAUGGGCGAAAGCCUGAUCCAGCCAUGCCGCGUGUGUGAAGAAGGCCUUCGGGUUGUAAAGCACUUUAAGCGAGGAGGAAUGGCUCUUGGUUAAUAACCUUGAGCAGUGACGUUACUCGCAGAAUAAGCACCGGCUAACUCUGUGCCAGCAGCCGCAGUAACAC
rnacentral:rRNA from 1 species